CCAUAUCAUAUUGAAACACUGGUUCUCAUAUUAUCACCAAAGUUAAGCAAUGUCGAACCUCGUCAGUAUCUAGAUGGGUAACUGCUUGGGAAUACCAGGUGCUGUAAG